UUUUCGGAGAGUUUGAUCCUGGCUCAGGACGAACGCUGGCGGCGUGCCUAAUACAUGCAAGUCGAGCGAACAGAAGGGAGCUUGCUCCCGGAUGUUAGCGGCGGACGGGUGAGUAACACGUGGGUAACCUGCCUGUAAGACUGGGAUAACUCCGGGAAACCGGAGCUAAUACCGGAUAGUUCCUUGAACCGCAUGGUUCAAGGAUGAAAGACGGUUUCGGCUGUCACUUACAGAUGGACCCGCGGCGCAUUAGCUAGUUGGUGGGGUAAUGGCUCACCAAGGCGACGAUGCGUAGCCGACCUGAGAGGGUGAUCGGCCACACUGGGACUGAGACACGGCCCAGACUCCUACGGGAGGCAGCAGUAGGGAAUCUUCCGCAAUGGACGAAAGUCUGACGGAGCAACGCCGCGUGAGUGAUGAAGGUUUUCGGAUCGUAAAGCUCUGUUGUUAGGGAAGAACAAGUGCGAGAGUAACUGCUCGCACCUUGACGGUACCUAACCAGAAAGCCACGGCUAACUACGUGCCAGCAGCCGCGGUAAUACGUAGGUGGCAAGCGUUGUCCGGAAUUAUUGGGCGUAAAGGGCUCGCAGGCGGUUUCUUAAGUCUGAUGUGAAAGCCCCCGGCUCAACCGGGGAGGGUCAUUGGAAACUGGGAAACUUGAGUGCAGAAGAGGAGAGUGGAAUUCCACGUGUAGCGGUGAAAUGCGUAGAGAUGUGGAGGAACACCAGUGGCGAAGGCGACUCUCUGGUCUGUAACUGACGCUGAGGAGCGAAAGCG
rnacentral:rRNA from 1 species